CCUACGGGAGGCUGCAGUGAGGAAUAUUGGUCAAUGGACGAGAGUCUGAACCAGCCAAGUAGCGUGAAGGAUGACUGCCCUAUGGGUUGUAAACUUCUUUUAUAUGGGAAUAAAAUGUUCCACGUGUGGGAUUUUGUAUGUACCAUAUGAAUAAGGAUCGGCUAACUCCGUGCCAGCAGCCGCGGUAAUACGGAGGAUCCGAGCGUUAUCCGGAUUUAUUGGGUUUAAAGGGAGCGUAGGUGGAUUGUUAAGUCAGUUGUGAAAGUUUGCGGCUCAACCGUAAAAUUGCAGUUGAAACUGGCAGUCUGGAGUAGAGUAGAGGUGGGCGGAAUUCGUGGUGUAGCGGUGAAAUGCUUAGAUAUCACGAAGAACUCCGAGUGCGAAGGCAGCUCACUGGACUGCAACUGACACUGAGGCUCGAAAGUGUGGGUAUCAAACAGGAUUAGAUACCCCAGUAGUC
rnacentral:rRNA from 1 species